GCGGGAUUAGUUCAUCGGUAGAACGCCAGCUUCCCAAGCUGGAGAGACGGGUUCGAUUCCCGUAUCCCGCU
rnacentral:tRNA from 2 species